rnacentral:rRNA from 1 species
CGGGGUGAGUAAUGUAUGGGGAUCUGCCUGAUGGCGGGGGAUAACUACUGGAAACGGUAGCUAAUACCGCAUAAUGUCUGCGGACCAAAGCGGGGGACCUCCGGGCCUCGCGCCAUCAGAUGAACCCAUAUGGGAUUAGCUUGUAGGUAAGGUAACGGCUUACCUAGGCGACGAUCCCUAGCUGGUCUGAGAGGAUGAUCAGCCACAUUGGGACUGAGACACGGCCCAG